rnacentral:antisense_RNA from 1 species
UGUGGGAGCUGGCUUGCCUGCGAUGCAGACACCUCGGUGUAUCAGUUGGGCUGAGGUGAUGCUAUCGCAGGCAAGCCAGCUCCCACC